rnacentral:rRNA from 1 species
AGAGUUUGAUCCUGGCUCAGGACGAACGCUGGCGGUGCGCCUUAUGCAUGCAAGUUGAGCGAAGCUUUUUGGUAGUUUACUACUAGAAAUGACUGAGCGGCGAACGGGUGAGUAACGCGUGAGCAAUCUACCUUAGUUACUGGGAUAGCCCGAGGAAACUCGGAUUAAUACCGGAUAUUCUUAUUUUUUCACAUGAAGUUUUAAGGAAAGGUCAGCCGAACUAAGAUGAGCUCGCGUUCUAUCAGCUAGUUGGUGGGGUAAAAGCCUACCAAGGCUACGACGGAUAGCUGGUCUGAGAGGACGAUCAGCCACACUGGGACUGAGACACGGGCCAGACUCCUACGGGAGGCUGCAGCAGGGAAUAUUGUGCAAUGAGCGAAAGCUUGACACAGCGACACCGCGUGUGGGAUGACGGUUCUAGGAUUGUAAACC